ACCUGGGUGGCUGAACUGAUCAAGUGUCUGACUUUGGCUCAGGUCAUGGUCUCCCAGUUCGUGAGUUCGAGUCCCACUCAAGGCU
rnacentral:tRNA from 1 species